GCGUCGCCGUCGCUUACACUCUCGGAAAGGUUUCGCCUUUUUAGUGUGUGUUUCUUCUUUGAGUGGAUAUAGUUGGCACCUUUUACAGGUGUUAGUUUGAUUUGAAUUAGGAGUUUGUAGUUUAUGAGAUUUGGUGUUUUCAGUCCAGAUUGUGUGAAUGAAAUCGACGCUCAGAGGGUAUUCGGGUAUGCUCUGUUCAAGGAUUAAUCAAGGAGGCUGGACUUUUGAGUUGCAAGAACAGGAAGUAAAUAUAUAUAACUUCGUAAAUAGAUGUUCGGUGGAAAGCUUUCUAUCAAAAUAUUGGACGAAUUUUAGAGGAUGGUAAGGAUCCCAUUGCAGAAGGGCAGAUGAAGAAACCAAGUGCUCGUAUCCAAAGUUAUCAUCUUUUUUCAAGAAAAUCACUAUAUACCUUGGGUACACAUGAUGUAUUUAUAGAUUCUGACCUCUUUUUUUUUUCUUUUUUUUUUUUACUUUGUGAAUCUUGUGAAGCUCAAUUAGAAGUUGUGAAUGCUUUUGUGUUGUUGAGUUGAUUUGUUCAAAU